UACGAAGGGGGCUAGCGUUGUUCGGAUUUACUGGGCGUAAAGCGCACGUAGGCGGAUCGUUAAGUCAGGGGUGAAAUCCUGGAGCUCAACUCCAGAACUGCCUUUGAUACUGGCGAUCUUGAGUCCGGAAGAGGUGAGUGGAACUCCUAGUGUAGAGGUGGAAUUCGUAGAUAUUAGGGAAGAACACCAGUGGCGAAGGCGGCUCACUGGUCCGGUACUGACGCUGAGGUGCGAAAGCGUGGGGAGCAA
rnacentral:rRNA from 1 species